AUACGGAGGAUGCGAGCGUUAUCCGGAUUUCAUUGGGUUUAAAGGGUGCGUAGGUGGUUUGAUAAGUCAGCGGUGAAAGUUUGCAGCUUAACUGUAAAAAUGCCGUUGAAACUGUCGGACUUGAGUGUAAAUGAGGUAGGCGGAAUGCGUGGUGUAGCGGUGAAAUGCAUAGAUAUCACGCAGAACUCCGAUUGCGAAGGCAGCUUACUAAGCUACAACUGACACUGAAGCACGAAAGCGGUGGGGAUC
rnacentral:rRNA from 1 species